UUGGUUAAGUUAGAAAGGGCGCACGGUGGAUGCCUUGGCACUAGGAGCCGAAGAAGGACGGGACUAACACCGAUAUGCUUUGGGGAGCUGUACGUAAGCGUUGAUCCAGAGAUUUCCGAAUGGGGGAACCCACUAUCUUUAGUCGGAUAGUAUCCUUACGUGAAUACAUAGCGUGAGGAAGGCAGACCCAGGGAACUGAAACAUCUAAGUACCUGGAGGAAGAGAAAGAAAAAUCGAUUUCCUGAGUAGCGGCGAGCGAAACGGAAAGAGCCCAAACCAAGAAGCUUGCUUCUUGGGGUUGUAGGACACUCUAUACGGAGUUACAAAAGAAAGUUAUAAAUGAAGCGGUCUGGAAAGGCCCGCCAAAGACGGUAACAGCCCGGUAGUUGAAAUGGCUUUCCCUCCAGAGUGGAUCCUGAGUACGGCGGAACACGUGAAAUUCCGUCGGAAUCCGGGAGGACCAUCUCCCAAGGCUAAAUACUCCCUAGUGACCGAUAGUGAACCAGUACCGUGAGGGAAAGGUGAAAAGCACCCCGGAAGGGGAGUGAAACAGUUCCUGAAACCGUGUGCCUACAAGUAGUUAGAGCCCGUUAAUGGGUGAUAGCGUGCCUUUUGUAGAAUGAACCGGCGAGUUACGAUUUGUUGCAAGGUUAAGCGGAAAAAGCGGAGCCGUAGCGAAAGCGAGUCUGAAUAGGGCGCAUAAGUAACAGGUCGUAGACCCGAAACCAGGUGAUCUACCCAUGUCCAGGAUGAAGGUAAGGUAAUACUUACUGGAGGUCCGAACCCACGCACGUUGAAAAGUGCGGGGAUGAGGUGUGGGUAGCGGAGAAAUUCCAAUCGAACUUGGAGAUAGCUGGUUCUCUCCGAAAUAGCUUUAGGGCUAGCCUCGAGGUAAAGAGUCAUGGAGGUAGAGCACUGUUUGGACUAGGGGCCCUUCUCGGGUUACCGAAUUCAGAUAAACUCCGAAUGCCAUGUACUUAUACUCGGGAGUCAGACUGCGAGUGAUAAGAUCCGUAGUCGAAAGGGAAACAGCCCAGACCACCAGUUAAGGUCCCCAAAUAUAUGUUAAGUGGAAAAGGAUGUGGGGUUGCUUAGACAACCAGGAUGUUGGCUUAGAAGCAGCCACCAUUGAAAGAGUGCGUAAUAGCUCACUGGUCGAGUGACCCCGCGCCGAAAAUGUACCGGGGCUAAACAUAUUACCGAAACUGUGGAUGAACCUCUUUAGAGGUUCGUGGUAGGAGAGCGUUCUAAGGGCGGUGAAGUCAGACCGGAAGGACUGGUGGAGCGCUUAGAAGUGAGAAUGCCGGUAUGAGUAGCGAAAGAAGGGUGAGAAUCCCUUCCACCGAAUAUCUAAGGUUUCCUGAGGAAGGCUCGUCCGCUCAGGGUUAGUCGGGACCUAAGCCGAGGCCGAUAGGCGUAGGCGAUGGACAACAGGUAGAGAUUCCUGUACCAGUGCUAAUUGUUUAACCGAUGGGGUGACACAGAAGGAUAGGGAAUCGCACGAAUGGAAAUGUGCGUCCAAGCAGUGAGUGUGAGAAGUAGGCAAAUCCGCUUCUCGCGAAGCAUGAGCUGUGAUGGGGAAGGAAAUUAAGUACGGAAGUUCCUGAUUUCACGCUGUCAAGAAAAGCCUCUAGGAAGAGUAGUACUGCCCGUACCGCAAACCGACACAGGUAGAUGAGGAGAGAAUCCUAAGGUGAGCGAGAGAACUCUCGUUAAGGAACUCGGCAAAAUGACCCCGUAACUUCGGGAGAAGGGGUGCUCUAUUAGGGUGCAAGCCCGAGAGAGCCGCAGUGAAUAGGCCCAGGCGACUGUUUAGCAAAAACACAGGUCUCUGCAAAACCGUAAGGUGACGUAUAGGGGCUGACGCCUGCCCGGUGCUGGAAGGUUAAGAGGAGUGCUUAGCUUCGGCGAAGGUACGAAUUGAAGCCCCAGUAAACGGCGGCCGUAACUAUAACGGUCCUAAGGUAGCGAAAUUCCUUGUCGGGUAAGUUCCGACCCGCACGAAAGGCGCAACGAUCUGGGCACUGUCUCAACGAGAGACUCGGUGAAAUUAUAGUACCUGUGAAGAUGCAGGUUACCCGCGACAGGACGGAAAGACCCCGUGGAGCUUUACUGCAACCUGAUAUGGAAUGUUUGUACCGCUUGUACAGGAUAGGUAGGAGCCGAAGAGACGUGUGCGCUAGCAUACGAGGAGGCAAUGGUGGGAUACUACCCUGGCUGUAUGACCAUUCUAACCCGCCACGCUUAGCGCGUGGGGAGACAGUGUCAGGUGGGCAGUUUGACUGGGGCGGUCGCCUCCUAAAGAGUAACGGAGGCGCCCAAAGGUUCCCUCAGAAUGGAUGGAAAUCAUUCGCAGAGUG
rnacentral:rRNA from 1 species